GAUGAACGCUGGCGGCGUGCCUAAUACAUGCAAGUCGAGCGGACGGGCGCGUAGCUUUCUGCUGGGAGGGUAGGGGCGGAGAAGGGAGGAGUAAGACGAGAACAAACUUAUAAGUCCGGGAGAAUAUCGGCAAAACGGAGUGGAUACCAGGUAAUAUUUUGGAUCUGUCGGUUGAAAAGUGAGGGAAGGUCUUUCUGUCGCUUAUGGAUGGAUCCGCGCUGCAUUAGCUAGUUGGUAAGGUAACGGCCUACCAAGGCGGCGAUGCCUAGCCGGCCUGAGAGGGUGGUCGACGACCCUGGAACGGAUACGCGGCCCCGCCUCCUCCGGGAGGCAGCAGCAGGGAAGCUUCCGCAACGGGCGAAAGACUGCCGGAGCAACGCCGCGGGAGUGAGGAAGGUCUUCGGCGCGUUAAACUCUGUUUUUGGGGAUGAACCUAUGUGUACGCAACUGUGCAUAGCUUGACGGUACCUGGUCAGAAAGCCACGGCUAACUACGUG
rnacentral:rRNA from 1 species